AGAGUUUGAUCCUGGCUCAGAAUGAACGCUGGCGGCGUGCUUAACACAUGCAAGUCGUACGAGAAAUCUUUAGCUUGCUAAAGAGAGUAAAGUGGCGCACGGGUGAGUAACGCGUGGGUAAUCUGCCUCCGAAUCGGGGAUAACAUUGCGAAAGCGAUGCUAAUACCGGAUAAAAUCUUAUUGGCUUAGGUGAAAAAGAUCAAGGGUGGUCUCUUUUUAAAAGCUACCGUUCGGAGAUGAGCUCGCGUACCAUUAGCUGGUUGGUAGGGUAAAGGCUUACCAAGGCGACGAUGGUUAGCUGGUCUGAGAGGAUGAUCAGCCACACCGGAACUGAAACACGGACCGGACUCCUACGGGAGGCAGCAGUGAGGAAUUUUGCGCAAUGGGGGAAACCCUGACGCAGCAACGCCGCGUGAGUGAAGAAGGCUUUCGGGUCGUAAAGCUCUGUCAGGCAGGAAGAAAGUGUCAUAAGCGAACAACUUAUGGUAUUGACGGUACUGCCGAAGGAAGCACCGGCUAACUCCGUGCCAGCAGCCGCGGUAAUACGGGGGGUGCAAGCGUUAUUCGGAUUCAUUGGGCGUAAAGGGCGC
rnacentral:rRNA from 1 species